UGGACAAAAUCAAAACCCAAUUAAACUCUUUCCCUCUCCAUUCCAGCAAAACACCCACCUCCCGCCUGCACUGUCGAGCUCCCGCUCUCAGCCAUCUCUCUCUCUCUCUCUCUCUCUCUCUCUUUCUUUCUUUCUUUCUUUCUUUCUCAGCUUCUCUCAGAUGCACCCUCACUCCCAUUUUCUCACAGAGUCUCAAAACCAUGUUGUUGGAGCUUUCAACCAUCACAGCUUGCUUGCGAGGUUCUUGAAGAAAGCAAGCUCCUUCUUUCGAAGUAGGUAUGGAUAUUUCGUAUUGGUUUGUAUUGAAUUCGAAUUGGGGAUUAGGGUUUUGUUGCAAUCGAUUUUGGUUUGGACUUUGUAUUGAAUUGGGGAUUAGGUUUUAGUUUUUUGGUUAACGAGAAUUUGGGGAUUGGGAGUUUUAGAGAACUCGAUUUGUGUGCGAUCCCGCCGGGUAGUAAAAAUAAAACGACGUGUUCAAUAAUCGAUAUAGUUACUGUGAAACCCCGCCAAUGCAGUAGACUAUUUACCAGAAAAGAGCCACAGUCUCUAUUUGCUGCUUGUCUGGUUUAUAUUUUGGGAGGUCCCAAGCAAGAAUAGAAAUUUGGUUGUACAGAGAUGAAGGCUUGUCAGCAGAGGCCUUGAAUGGUGCGAUCCGAUCAGAUCCGCGUACGUCAUCAUGUUUCUCUUCGACUGGUUCUACGGCGUGCUCGCUUCCCUCGGUCUGUGGCAAAAGGAGGCCAAGAUCUUGUUCCUAGGGCUCGAUAAUGCCGGCAAGACCACCUUGCUUCACAUGCUCAAAGAUGAUAGGCUGGUGCAGCAUCAGCCUACGCAAUACCCCACAUCCGAGGAGUUGAGUAUUGGCAAAAUCAAGUUCAAGGCCUUUGAUUUGGGAGGUCAUCAGAUUGCUCGCAGGGUCUGGAAGGAUUACUACGCAAAGGCUAUUACAGCUGCCCUGCUGGAGCUUGACCAACUUCAUUCUCUGCUUAAUAUCGACUCUCUACUGUUCAAAAAUGCUAUAUGGAAGGUUUGCUUCACUCAUGACUUUUUGAACUCCAUAACAAAAGUUAAAGACAUUGUGAUUCUUUGCGAAGUGCUUGCGUUAUUAACCAAGCUUUUGAGUGGAUGGCGCCAACCUCUUGAGGACAAAGGAACUUUAGUGUAUGAUGGGACUUCUGCUCAACUGUUAGAGAAGUAUAAAAUCAAAGGGAACUUGAAUCCCAUUUGGACUGUAGAUAUUCUCCAGGGGAAUGUACAUUACAUCCAAAUUAUGAAGUUUUGGGAUAUUUUGCCAUUUUGUCAUAUACCAAAACUAGCAAAGCGUCUUGACAUUGUUUUUGGGAAUUUUACAGUGGACAAAAUGAACCACUGCCGUUACAAAUGCAUUGACAGGUAUGUGAUGUUUCAAAUUUUUUCUUUUCAUACAUUUGUUAGUCCAUGGAACUUUUAUUCCAUCAAUCUGGGUCAGAGAAAUUUCAAUUGCAUAACUGGAGCAUAUAUGAUUACUAAUACUACUUUUUAUCCUCUGUUUAAAUCAUGUAUCAUUUUCUUUAGGAUACUAUUGUUCCAAUGAGAUGGCUGGUGGUUUUCAGCAAUUUCCCUAUAACUGAUCAUGAGGAGUUCCUUUCAAAACCAUUGUCUUCUUACGGUAUAACAACUAAUCGAGAAACAGCAACUUCAACGUAUGGGUCAGCAUAUAUUCCAACUUUUUUUGGAAGUCAUAUUGUUUUUGAAUAAUCAAAUUAAAUUAAACUAUUUGAACAAAAUGAUACACAACUCUAUUUACUAUAAAUAUUGGUUUUGGCAAAUAGGAAUCAACUACCAUGCAGAAGAAUGGAUGUAUAAUUCUGAGCAUGAAAUCUUUUCCUCAGCUUUACUGUAGGUGCUUAUGUUGUUUAGUGAUUCUGGAGUUUAUAGGCCUUAAUUUAAUUUGUAAAUAUCUUAUACUUAAACUCCAAAUGUGUAAAGCUGGAGGUUAUUCUCAGCAGCCUUAUGUCAUCAUGUAGGUCGCGAUUUUGGUCACACAUAUUAUCCACUUUUUCAUGUUCACGUCCAUAGGUUAUGUUGAAGUUCUUGUCCUGAAGAAGAGGAAUUAGUUUUCAAUAGAAAAGAUGGCCAUAUUCUUAUUCAUUACCUGAUAUAUUUUGUAAGCAUAUAUUUGAGCAAAUGUACCACUUGCUUCAAUAGGGAGACAUCGAAAGCAGUAAAGCCAAUUAUCCCUUCGUAUAGUGCUGAUGCAGUUGUCCUAGCUGUUGGAAUCUCCACACUUCAAAAACUUAUUUAAAAUAGAUAUUUUGUUAUUGAAUCUCAGAAUGUUUUAUGCAAAUAUCUGUGAUCCAAUGUUGAUUAGAAAUCAGGGUUUUUGAUUGAAAUCAAAUCAGUUAGUAUUACAAGACAGAAUAGUGUUACAUUUACAGUGAAACUAGGUUCGUCCUGACUAUCAUCCCAUUCAUCCACACAAGGAAGUCCAGAUACUAAUUUUAGAGCUCAUUUCAUGUAUAAGACUGUGAAGUACAUGUUAGAUCUUAAAUUAACCCUAUUCCUGCUAUUUCUACCUUAAUUGGCAGUACUUGAGUUCUGUAUAGUGGCAGUACUUGAGUUCUGUAUAGUGCAGUGUUGUGUACGAGGGAGGAAUUUGUCAAGGUCUCGAACCUGCUACCAUCGAUGUACUCUCCGUUAAGCUCUGGCUCGAUAGGAAGGCACUCUAAUCUGGAAAGUUUUAAUAUAACAAGUCAGUCGAUGGUACUUUUCCAUUCAUGAUUUGAUGGAGCUGAUUCUUUGUUGUGGACCACAUAAUCAGGUGAGCAUUCCAAAUGCAAGCAAUGCUUGCUCAGGUUUUGAUGAUUCGUUCAAGUGGUCUUUCUUUGAUUUGACUGUAAUUCAUGAUGACCACAAAGAUAGUACAGUAACAGUGCUACAAGCUGAUUUUUAUCGUGCCAAUGAGUUGUU